CCACACAAGUUUGCCUCUGUCCUGCUCAAGAAUCAAGAGACCCUGAGCCUUAGUAUGCAGAAGGGAGGCCUUGGCCAGCAGGACCUCCAAGGGUCCAGGGGGGAACCAGCGUUCUGUGGCAGGCAGAGCACCUAACACAGUGGGCAAGCUGCCAGAGCUGACAGGGGACAGUUCCUGUAUGGCGGUCCUGCAGUCUAACCUCGGACCUGGAACUGACAGCCUGCACAAGUACAUCUCCCACAUCAGGCCAAAGCAAAGGCUCGUCACCAGCCGCCCUCCAUGUCCCCGGGCAGCUGUGGCUCCAGGACCCCCCCAAAAGCCUGAGGAAUGGAGCAGGACUGGAAGAGAUCAG